rnacentral:rRNA from 1 species
UACGAGGGGGGCAAAUGUUGUUCGGAAUCACUGGGCGUAAAGGGAGCGUAGGCGGGUUUCUAAGUCAGGUGUUUAAUCCCGGGGCCCAACCCCGGACAGGCACUUGAAACUGGGAAUCUUGAAUAGUGGAGAGGUCAGUGGAAUUGGGGGUGUAGCGGUGGAAUGCGUAGAGAUCCCCAAGAACACCAGUUGCGAAGGCGGCUGACUGGACACAUAUUGACGCUGAGGCUCGAAAGCGUGGGGAGCAAACAGG